GAGUUUGAUCCUGGCUCAGGAUGAACGCUGGCGGCGUGCUUAACACAUGCAAGUCGAACGAGGAAUUUUAAAUGAGACUUCGGUGGAUUUUAAAAUUCUUAGUGGCGGACGGGUGAGUAACGCGUGGGCAACCUGCCCUGUACAGGGGGGACAACAGCUGGAAACGGCUGCUAAUACCGCAUAAGACCACGGAGCCGCAUGGCUCAGUGGGAAAAACUCCGGUGGUACAGGAUGGGCCCGCGUUGGAUUAGGUAGUUGGUGAGGUAACGGCCCACCAAGCCGACGAUCCAUAGCCGACCUGAGAGGGUGACCGGCCACGUUGGGACUGAGACACGGCCCAAACUCCUACGGGAGGCAGCAGUGGGGAAUCUUCCGCAAUGGGCGAAAGCCUGACGGAGCAACGCCGCGUGAGUGAAGAAUUAUUUCGGUAUGUAAAGCUCUAUCAGCAGGGAAGAAAAUGACGGUACCUGACUAAGAAGCCCCGGCUAACUACGUGCCAGCCGCCGCCGU
rnacentral:rRNA from 1 species